rnacentral:lncRNA from 1 species
AUCUUUCCCUAAAACUAGGGCAUCAAAGCAGAGAGAGCCAGUGCAUAGAGUGAAGUGCACACAUGUCCACAGAAAAGUACAGUCAGCAGAGCAUAUAGCGCCAGAGAGACAAAGAAGCCUUUCUGCCAUUCCAGUUCUGUGUUCAUUCCUGUUUGGAGGAAGAACUAUACCUCCUCACCUUUGAUCGAGAUGGCCUGUAUACUUCUGGUGCUGAUCCCAUGAGCACUCCCUAAUAAAUUUCUUGCAGGUUAAUCUCCAUCUAAAAAUUUGCUUCUCAGAAAACUCAACAUGCAACACAUGAUAAAAGGCAUUUAUUCGCUCAGACAACUGAACAUCUAGUGGGGUGGAAAAAUCAUUCCCAUACUUCCAGUCCUCACGCUUGCCGGUCACCCCAUCCAGAAGGAGAUUCCAAAUG